rnacentral:rRNA from 1 species
AGAGUUUGAUCCUGGCUCAGGAUGAACGCUAGCGGCAGGCUUAACACAUGCAAGUCGAGGGGUAACAUUGUGCUUGCACAGAUGACGACCGGCGCACGGGUGCGUAACGCGUAUAGAAUCUACCUUAUACUAGGGAAUAGCCUUUGGAAACGAAGAUUAAUGCCCUAUAGUAUGUUGUUUUGGCAUCAAGACAACAUUAAAGGUUACGGUAUAAGAUGACUAUGCGUUCUAUUAGCUAGAUGGUGUGGUAACGGCACACCAUGGCAACGAUAGAUAGGGGCCCUGAGAGGGGGAUCCCCCACACUGGUACUGAGACACGGACCAGACUCCUACGGGAGGCAGCAGUGAGGAAUAUUGGACAAUGGAGGCAACUCUGAUCCAGCCAUGCCGCGUGCAGGAUGACUGCCCUAUGGGUUGUAAACUGCUUUUAUACAGGAAGAAACCUUUUCACGUGUGAGAAGCUGACGGUACUGUAAGAAUAAGGAUCGGCUAACUCCGUGCCAGCAGCCGCGGUAAUACGGAGGAUCCAAGCGUUAUCCGGAAUCAUUGGGUUUAAAGGGUCCGUAGGUGGAUAAUUAAGUCAGGGGUGAAAGUUUGCGGCUCAACCGUAAAAUUGCCUUUGAUACUGGUUAUCUUGAAUUAUUGUGAAGUGGUUAGAAUAUGUAGUGUAGCGGUGAAAUGCAUAGAUAUUACAUAGAAUACCAAUUGCGAAGGCAGAUCACUAACAAUAUAUUGACACUGAUGGACGAAAGCGUGGGGAGCGAACAGGAUUAGAUACCCUGGUAGUCCACGCCGUAAACGAUGGUCACUAGCUGUUCGAACUUCGGUUUGAGUGGCUAAGCGAAAGUGAUAAGUGACCCACCUGGGGAGUACGUUCGCAAGAAUGAAACUCAAAGGAAUUGACGGGGGCCCGCACAAGCGGUGGAGCAUGUGGUUUAAUUCGAUGAUACGCGAGGAACCUUACCAGGGCUUAAAUGUAGAUUGACAGGUUUAGAGAUAGACUUUUCUUCGGACAAUCUACAAGGUGCUGCAUGGUUGUCGUCAGCUCGUGCCGUGAGGUGUCAGGUUAAGUCCUAUAACGAGCGCAACCCCUGUUGUUAGUUGCCAGCGAGUCAUGUCGGGAACUCUAACAA